UGCGUCCGCUGCUGCUACAGAGGAAGUAACCGGUGAAACAGUAGCGAGCGCAGUGGAUGCAAAGAACCACUUCGUGGGCGUGGGAGGCAUGAAGGACCAAUCGGGCGUGAUGGAGCUGCUCGAUGGUUGCUACUACAUGAGCUUUGACACCAACGGCGUUGGUGUUUCCAUCGGCAUCACGAUCCAGCUCGUUGGGGUUGGAGGCAGCGUAGAGACCAUCGGCCAGAUUCCCAGUGCUAGGUGAUAAAAUGGUCGCCCAUUAGGAUAGUUUGUAAGCGCCAUGUGUCCUGUUUGGUGGGCUUGGAAGUGGGUAUGGCGCCAGAGGUGCUAACAGCGUGCGUCAUGCCAUGAGCUACGGUACCGUGUGAGACGUGUAAAGUCAUAUGCCCAUGAGUUGUUUGUCUACGUGCAUUUCUGAAUAUCCAUGCACUUAUGCGUGGGUGCGCUGACUUUGUUUAACUGUUUGUCUAGUACUCCUUCCGUAAAGAAAUAUAAAAGAUU
rnacentral:lncRNA from 1 species